UACGGGGGGAGCAAGCGUUGUUCGGAUUUACUGGGCGUAAAGGGCGCGUAGGCGGCUUAACAAGUCACUUGUGAAAUCUCCGGGCUUAACUCGGAACGGCCAAGUGAAACUGUCAAGCUAGAGUGCAGAAGGGGCAAUCGGAAUUCUUGGUGUAGCGGUGAAAUGCGUAGAUAUCAAGAGGAACACCUGAGGUGAAGACGGGUUGCUGGGCUGACACGUGACGCUGAGGCGCGAAAGCCAGGGGAGCAAACGGG
rnacentral:rRNA from 1 species